rnacentral:rRNA from 1 species
GGGUCUCCAACCUGUCGGUAGUCAACACCACGUAUUAGGUUACUGCCCUUCCUCCCAACUUAAAGUGCUUUACAAUCCGAAGACCUUCUUCACACACGCGGCAUGGCUGGAUCAGGCUUUCGCCCAUUGUCCAAUAUUCCCCACUGCUGCCUCCCGUAG